AUGGCCCCGUUUCCCAUCCUGUGGGGCUGGGUUCUCAUGGCUGCAGUGAGCACAGCUCAGAGGCCAGACGCCGACGCAAGCUUGGUGGAGCAAAGCCCCAGGUGGGUCCUGGUACCUCGCGGGCAGGCUGAAACCCUGCGCUGCAUCCUGAAGGAUUCCCAGUACCCCUGGAUGAGCUGGUACCAACAGGAUCUCCAGGGGCAGCUACAGGUGCUGGCCAGUCUGCGGAGUUCUGGGGAUGAGGAGGUCAUAUCCCUUCCUGGAGCAGAUUACCGGGCCACGCGGGUUGGUGACAGAGAGCUGAGCCUACACGUGGCCAACGUGACCCAGGGCAGAACCCUAUUCUGCGCCUGCAGUAAAGACACGGUGAGACAUCCUUCUUGGGCAAAUGAAUAA